CUUUCAGGAAUCUACGACUACAUUGGCGCAAGGCCCUACGUCGAUCUCUGCAGAGACUGAACCUGUCGACUCGACUUUGUUUUUUCUCGACAAAUUUAAAAUGAUCGGAGCCGUUACAAGAGCUCUCGUGAGAAAGGCUCCUGCAGCCAGAUUACAGAUGGCCCUCGUGCAUCGCAGCAUGGCAACAGAGAGCAUGGAGCUUCCCAAAGCAUCCAGUGCUGUUUGGCUCUUGGGUGGUGCUGGUGCACUCAUGGCUGUUGAGGCAUGGGUCUACUUCAAUGACCUUAUUGUAUGGGGUCUUGCUCCCGAGCGACCAAAAGCUGAGUCAAUUGCCAGCUUCUCUGUUAAAGAAUAAUGAAGUUAUCUGAUUCAUUUUUGAUGCCCCAAAUAGAACUUCUGCUGUAGUGUUUAGAGAAAUAGACAACUGAAUCAACCAACGUGCUUCAAAGACUUCCAACAAGCAGUCUGAAUGAUGCUGCUACCACUUUCUGCCACUCACAUUUCUACCGCUUUUGCAUAUUUAGCAUGAAGAUGCAUCGUUUCCCUAGGAAGAAAAUGAAGCCAAGACAUUUUCGAAACCACGGUGCAUACAACUACUGAAACUCUUUAUAAGCUGCAGAGGCAAGCUUAGAAUUGUGCCUACAGAGCCCGGAAAAAUCACUGCACUGCAUGAAAUACUCAACUAACUCGUAGGCAUGUUACCUGUAGAAUUCUCUAUUCCACAUCAUGUAGUCUAAGAACUUUGUCUGUCAUUUCUAAUGUCAUAUAAAAAAAUUCAUGUGAGGUGACUUUGUGGCGACAGAAACUAAGAUUCUGAAUCAUGAAUGUAUCCGUGGAAGUCGCAAAUACUUUACAUGUGGAUAAUUCGGCUAGAAAAGGUUAAUCCCAUGAUGUACAAGGUAGUGUUUUCCUUCCUUAUUAGUUUGUAUUAGGGGUAUAGUUGAAGUCUAUUUGACUUCUGGAGGGCAUCUGGAGUUGAUGUGUUGAAAAGAUGUAAUGUGCAUGUUUCUAUACAUCAUUAUAAAUUAGGAAGAUUUUAAAGAGCGAUAUUCUGUCUGAUCGGUUUAUUAUGUGUAUUUAAUCAUGCUUCAUUCGGAAGAGGAUGUUUGUUUUCCAGAAUAAAAAUAUGUUCUAAUUUAGAAUAAAAUGUGCUCUAAAUUGUAUUUUACAAUGAGCUGUUUCUUAUGUGGGAAUUAUCAUGAUGUCUUCAAUUUGUUGCAUUGGCGAAACAGAAAUUAGCCGUAAUGGUCGCGUUAUCUUUAUGCAAAUAAUAUUUGUAAUGUCAAAGCACUGUCAAUAGUUCGUCAUCCAACCUUUGUUGUCAAUAAACUCAGCUUGUUUUGUCAACCUUAUAAUUGGGGAAGGGGGGGAUACUUCUAAUUAAUAUUCUCUAAUCAUGUUGACUAAUUAUUAUCACAGAAAGGCAUUUUAUAUCAAUUGAUUUAAUCAUGUGUGCGAGUUUUGAUGUGUAGUUCCUCUGGAUGAAAUAAAUGACCUAUAACGUUCAACCUUUGUCAAGAUGCAGCCAAUGA